rnacentral:rRNA from 1 species
UACGUAGGGGGCAAGCGUUGUCCGGAAUCACUGGGCGUAAAGCGCACGUAGGCGGCUUUGUAAGUCAGGGGUGAAAGCCUGGAGCUCAACUCCAGAACUGCCUUUGAGACUGCAUCGCUUGAAUCCGGGAGAGGUAAGUGGAAUUCCGAGUGUAGAGGUGAAAUUCGUAGAUAUUCGGAAGAACACCAGUGGCGAAGGCGGCUUACUGGACCGGAAUUGACGCUGAGGUGCGAAAGCGUGGGGAGCAAACAGG